rnacentral:rRNA from 1 species
ACGCUCGACACCUACGGGAGGCAGCAGUGAGGGAUAUUGGUCAAUGGGGGAAACCCUGAACCAGCAACGCCGCGUGAGGGAUGACGGCCUUCGGUUGUAAACCUCUGUCCUCUGCGAAGAUAAUGACGGUAGUAGAGGAGGAAGCUCCGGCUAACUACGUGCCAGCAGCCGAGGUAAUCUGAGGCGGGCUGGCAAGGC